rnacentral:rRNA from 1 species
AACGAACGCUGGCGGCAUGCCUAACACAUGCAAGUCGAACGAGACCUUCGGGUCUAGUGGCCCAUGGGUGCGUAACGCGUGGGAACCUUCCCUUAGGUUCGGAAUAACUCCCCGACAGGGGUGCUAAUACCGGAUAAUGUCUUCGGACCAAAGAUUUAUCGCCCUUGGAUGGGCCCGCGUUGGAUUAGCUAGUUGGUAGGGUAAAAGCCUACCAAGGCGACGAUCCUUAGAUGGGCUGAGAGGAUGAUCAGCCACACUGGGACGGAGACACGGCCCAGACUCCUACGGGAGGCAGCAGUGGGGAAUAUUGGAAAAUGGGGGAAAGCCUGAUCCAGCAAUGCCGCGUGAGUGAUGAAGGCCUUAGGGUUGUAAAGCUCUUUUACCCGGGAUGAUAAUGACGGUACCGGGAGAAUAAGCUCCGGCUAACUCCGUG